UGACCUAUUAAUGGUUUAAGCACUUUUCUGGCCACAAAGAGUCAAAUACAAUGCAUUCAUAAUUUCCCAAAUACGAAAAUUGGAAUAAUAAACUGAAUGCUUUCUUGAUAAGCAUAAUAACAUGAAGCUAACUAAACAAUAUGCACACAUAUUAAUGAAAUAACAAUCUUCAAACAGAUACGAAAUGUAAGCCUUCACUAUAAAUUCAUUUAACAAUAACACAGAGUUUUUCUUUGAAGGUCAGGGAUUACUACACACAAAAACAUAGUGCCAAAACUAACACUCCCGAGUUGCGGGAGGACAUGAUAGCUCCCAAAAACUAAAACUCCUGAGUUGCUGUAAGACAUUAUAGCUCCCAAUGGAGGAAUAUCAAUAGACACCUAUCAAAGUGUUUAAACAUUGCGCUUCUUCCUGAUUUUGCCCUUGCCACCUGACCUUUUACCAAUCUUGACUUUCUUUUUCAUCUUUUUCCCUA
rnacentral:lncRNA from 1 species